CCCCUCUCAGGGUCACACCUGGAGAGUUUCCAGUCCUCUACCAGUCUCAGCUACGGGGAGGGAGAGUCAAGCAGAGGCAUACCCAUUCCAUCCCUAGCUUGGCCAGUGGCUAGUGAGUGGAAGGCAGUCUGCUAAAAGU